CUCUCUCUCUCUCUCUCUCUCUCUCUCUCUCUCUCACACACACACACAGUUGUUGGGAUGACUAUAACAUUAAAUAGAGGCCACAGAAUAUGUAUUUAUGGCAGAUAUAUAUGUUUUAUCAGGCGUUUCACAGUUGGGACACAAGACAAGGUCAUAAAUAAUAUCCAACACCUGACAAAAUACGACAGCAGUUACCUCAACAACAACAACAGGGGGCAGGAGAGAAAAAGCGGGAAAAGUAUAAAAGAGGAGAAAAAAGAUAUGACACAGAGCAUCGAGAACGAGGGAGAGGGCGAUGGAAGGAGGGAAGGCGACAGUUGGAAGGGAGGGAAUAGACAACCAAACACGAUCACAGAGACCUCCUUUCUGCUUGAAAAGAAACCAGGGGGGGACAUAACCGGCUGCACUAAGGCUGAAAUAAAUCUGUAUUGCGGCGUGCAGAACGUAAAAAGAGGCCUUUAAGCCACUGCUGUUGAGACGAGAACCCGACAGACGCAGAGCCCUGCUCCCGUGACGACACGCGGCCUAGGCAGCAGAUGGGGAGGUGGAUACCCACGGUUCUGUUGUUAUAAUAAAGCUCAUGUGCUCUGUAAGCUGACCCACCUGCCUGUGCUUGUUUUCAUUGAUGUUGGGAAAAAGUUCACUUUGAAUCCCUUUGACUACAUUUUUUUAACGUUUACACCAAUACAAGCCCUCAAAUGAUGAUUUUGUAACUGGUGGUCUGACCUAGGAGUCCACUUCUGCACAACACAAAGCCAGCUGACUUGUCAACUGUAUGCCAUCAGUCCCGCGUCCGCAUGGCCACCAUGAUGGGAUUCCACUUGAAACGCUAAGGCGGCCGAUGGGCUAACUGAGUGUCGUUUAACUUUAGUUAGAAAUGAUGGUAACGGUCUGUUUCUGGGGUGGGGCUGGGGGGAGACUGGGUAAAUGUUGGUCUAGUCACAUGGCAGUGGUGCAGGGAUACAAGCCUGUACACUGAAAACCCUACAGAACAUACACGCAUGCACGCACACACACGCGCGCAUACACACAGACACACCAUGUACUCGGGAGCAAAGGGGAGCUUUUGAGGGAUCAUCCGCCUUAGACCCUGCCUUCCCCUUUCCGCUCUGUGGUCGCCAGCCGACCGUGGCUUCAAGUUCUUCGGGAACAAAAUCAAAUAGAAAAUCCACUGAGGAAUUAAGACAAUUCUCUGGAGACACUGAGAACAAAAAAAAAACCUCACAAACAGAGUUUGCUAACCACAUAGUGUACACACAUACUUAACAAUUCUAGGCCAACUAUAAAGUCAACAAAACAAAACAAAUGCCUGCUUACUCUUGAGGAAUGAUUGACGUCUAGGACACCUACGCAAAGCAAACUGUUAUCACACAGGACAGGGGACAGGGGGGUCGGGUCGGAACAGGGCAACAACAAGAGAGAGAUCAGAAGAGAACGAGUGAAAGAGAAAGAGAGGACAGCUUCACUGGUCUGCCAGAUGAUGGCCAAAUAUUACAAAAUAUUCUAUUAACAAUAUUCACAAAAGAAUCCAGGCUCAGGACAGUUCAAUGUCGGAAAUUCUCAGCAAACACCUUGUGCUUUUAUUCAAUAGUGGUGGCUUUAGUUGAACUUGUACCGUUUUUUUGGUUUGCGUAUAAGAGAAUUGGGUACUGUUGAGGUCCAUGGCACUGCGAAGGCCGAGAAAAGUCAGCAAAAGAAAAAUUAAAUAAGAAGGGAAGAUAAAUAGAUCCCUUUUUUUAUUGACUCAAACUAAACAGGCACAUUUUGUGUAAAAAGGCUUGUAGCUGAGAAUUUUGGACAGAUACGUCUACGAUGAACUGUUCAGAGUGGCAGCUGUACCAUGAGCCAGAGAAACUUCCAGAAGUACUCACGUCUCUGAUAUCUUACACACAAAGGAUACAUGUGUGCCUGACACACACUCACAUGCACACACACGUACACUGACAAAACAUAGACAAUCACCCACACCUACACCCAAACCUUCUAGCCACAAGAUUGAUCACAAUUCAUCUCCCCAGCAUACAUUCAUGAAAGCAUACGUAUUCAACUACUUCAUAAGUUUCACCUCUUUUGAAUCACAUUUUUUUUGCCCGAGUGGAUUUGAUAUUGAUGUAAUAUUUCACCACAAAGAGAAUGGUGGCAUAAUUCAUCCAUCAAAAGCUUAGCAGACCGGAAUGACACAUCAUACCAAAAGUUAUGUCGGUGGAAAAAGUUUCUCAUAGUCUGCUUCUAAGUCUAUUCUUUUUUUUCAGAGGUUUUUUCAAUAGCUUUUUCCUGUUAUCUCCUUCUAGAAGAAACAUACAUAUAUAUUUCUUUUUUUAAAACUGAAACCAAAUCAUUAAAGGUGCUAUGUGCACAGUGACACAUUACAUACAGAUCUCUGAUCUGUUAAACACUCACACAACCCUUUGCCGGAAUCCCAAAUCAAACAGGUUUGCUGUUGUUUUCUUGACAACUGCACACACACGCACACACAAACACACGCACACACGCACGCACGCACGCACGCACGCACGCACGCACACACACACACACACACACACACA
ensembl:lncRNA